UUGACCUCGGAUCAGGCAGGGAUACCCGCUGAACUUAAGCAUAUCAAUAAGCGGAGGAAAAGAAACCAACAGGGAUUGCCUCAGUAACGGCGAGUGAAGCGGCAACAGCUCAAAUUUGAAAUCUGGCUCUUUUAGGGUCCGAGUUGUAAUUUGUAGAGGAUGCUUCGGCGUCGGCUCCGGUCUAAGUUCCUUGGAACAGGACGUCAUAGAGGGUGAGAAUCCCGUAUGUGAUCGGUUGCCCUUGCCAUGUGAAGCUCCUUCGACGAGUCGAGUUGUUUGGGAAUGCAGCUCUAAAUGGGAGGUAAAUUUCUUCUAAAGCUAAAUACUGGCCAGAGACCGAUAGCGCACAAGUAGAGUGAUCGAAAGAUGAAAAGCACUUUGGAAAGAGAGUCAAAAGUACGUGAAAUUGUUGAAAGGGAAGCGCUUGCAACAGACCU
rnacentral:rRNA from 1 species